UCCAAACACAUAGCAAGUAUGAAGAUUUGUAUGCUAACUUCUACAAGGUAUUUGAAUUCUACACUCCCUUAUUUGAACCUGCACCUUUCAUUGUAUUUGUAUUCUGAAAUGUCCAUUUCAUGAUGUAAAUUUGUAUUCUGGAAUAAAUUUUUCAAAAUACAAUAAAAAAGAAUACAAGAUUCAAUAGUAGAAGUGCAUGAAACAAAUGGCCUUCAACAAAUGAUUGUAAAACUUCUUAUAAACUUAUAGCCCAACACAAAGAACUUAUGUUCAAAAUAGGCCUUAUGUAUAAGCAGAUAUUAGGGAAUGAUUGGUUGAUAAAGAGACUAACCAAGCCACUCAAUAGUACGAAACACUUUUGAUGUGUAUCUCUCAAAUUUAUAAUUCUGAUUAUACUGUUUAUAGUGAUUUUUUUUCGUAAAAAAUAUUAACCUUUUAUUUGGUCCAGGAAAAGAAAAUGAAAUGAUAACAAUUUUAAAAUUUGAAUAAAAAUCAAAUGAAGAAAAAAUUGAAACUUAUUCUAUGGAAUGAUUUUCUUUCUUUGUUUAAAUUUUUUUUAUUCCUUCUUAUUUGCUUUCCUUUAUGCAAAUGUUGGAUACAAGAGCAAUGGUUACAGACAUAAUUUCAAAUAUUUAGGAUAAAUAAUUAUUUUCGUUUAUGAAAGUGGAUAGUACUGACAAAUUCGUCAUUGAAAGGUGAAAAAGUAAAAUUUAAUCUCCGAAAAUAUAAAAAACGAGACAAAUUUGUUCCACCGUUAACUUAGGGAACUUGCCUACGUGGUACUCAAGAACAAAAAUGUCACAAAAUUAAUGCUCAUGUGAACAUAAAGACUAAAGAUAACAAAUACUUCCCUAGAUUUAACAACUUCUUAAUAUUUUCGUCCUUCAAAAGCACAACUUAUUGAUAGGUAUAUCCACAAAAUAUAUAAACCUAAUUAGUUAACAUCAAUAACAAGAUACAUUUAAGGGCUUGGAGAAGCUACAAAAGCAUUGUAGUUUUGAUUACUUGACCUCUCAUGUUUGUUUUCUUUUGCAUGUGGAUGACUCAUUUAAGAUUUGACAAAUUGAUUUUUUAUUUGAGAAUCUACCCAUCUUGUCUCCUCUUGAGUCUUGAUUUCUAUGUAAUAAGUUGACAUUAUAAAUAUAAUUAUGAUUAUAAUAUACUAUAAUAUAUAUAUGCAAUAAAAAAAUCAAAAACUUCUAAGUCUAAUGGGUUGUUGGUGUAUGUAUCUUAUUCUAAUAUCUACUAAUUAAGUUUAUCUAUUUUUUGGAUAUAUUUGCCAAUAAGUUGUAUCUUUGAAGGACGAAAAUAUCAUUGAGUUGUUAACUUAGGAACGUAUCUGUCAGUGACUUUAGUUUUUAUUUCCACGUUACCAUCAAUUUCCUGACAUUAUCAUCCUUGCGUGUCAUGUAGGCGAGUUCUCUAACAUUAACGAACAAAAAUUAAUUGAGACAAUUUGUCUAACUUUUUACAAUUUUGGGGAUUAAAUUUUGUUUUUUCUUCUUUAAGGGAUAGAUUUGUCAGCGCUACAUUCUUUAAGGACAAAAAUAACUAUUUAUCGAAGUAUAUAUCAAAACAUAGGAUGCAUGUAAAUGGUGUAUUGGUGUUGCAACUAGGUUAGUGCUUUCUGCAUGGUCUGUGACCUAUUUGGAUAUUGCGACAUUUUGUAUCUAUUAUAUAUAUACUAACCCCUGUCCAGUGACAAGAAAUUUCUCAAGUAGGAAAGGAUGUGAGACUAAUGUCGGGAGAUUUUUUCAUUGGACCUUGGAGUCUUUGGAUCUAUAUAUUUGCUUUGCUUGUCUUAUUUGGGGCAAUUGUUUUAUGCAUCACAAGUUUUUGCUUGGUGCACUCCAUAAAAAAUAAUAGUGAUUCCAAAUGGACUAAGAUGCCCUUUUAAUAGUCUUACUCAAGCACCCAUUGCCUGUCUUCAUUCCUUUUGUGUUGCACCCCACUCUCUUCCUAUUGUGAUAGACCAAGUGGGUCAUAAGCAGUCCAUACCAAGAGGCCCAAAAGAAGGAUCACAGCAGCUCGAAGGUUCUAGGACUUCGUGUGAAUGGUGCUGAUAAGAGUAGAAUAAAAUAAAGGAUUUUCACAAAUCCUAUAGUGUGUGUCUGUGAGUGCGCGUCCUUUAGUGCAUACGUGUUCUUUAGUAGUGCGUUUUGUUGCAUGUCCUUUAAUAUUGUUGGGAAUAUCCCUACAUUUUGGUUAGGGAGGUAUGACACCUUUUGCGUGUAUUCUUAUCCAGUUGUGCAUGCGAGUGCCUAUUUGUAGAGGUGCACCGUAGGAAUGAGACAAGCAGAAAUAUAAUAUGAUUCAUUUCUCUAUUAGUGUUCUCUUCCCUUAUUUGCAUUUCAUAACAAUUGGUUCUCUUGUUCUUGAGCCAUGGUGGAGUAUACAAGAGCCAAGACCAACCUCGACCGUUUGGAGGACGCCAUUGCCAAGCUUACCACCAACCAACUAUCCUUGUCAGCCAAAAUCGAUGACCUCGUGCAGCAGUUUGCAAUAAUGGAAUCCAGUCAACACUCUCCUGCAUCUUCAUCGGCACAUCCUCCUUCUCCUUCUCCACAUACUCCUCCAUAUCGGCUGAAGCUUGAGGUCCCUCAUUUUGAAGGUACGGAUCCCGUGGGGUGGAUCUUUAAGAUAAAUCAAUUUUUCGAUUAUCAUGCUACAUUGGAUCCGGAACGAUUAACGAUAGCUUCGUUCUACAUAGAUGACCCUACACUCAUGUGGUUUCAAUGGAUGAUGCACAAUGGUCAGAUUCCUUCAUGGCAAGGGUUCCUUCAAGCGUUGGAGGCACAUUUUUCUUCUUCACACUAUGAAGAUCCUACGAGGUCUUUAUUCAAGUUAACACAACAAGGCACCGUCAACGACUAUCUAACAAAAUUCGAAGCCUUGGCAAAUCAGAUUAUCGGCUUGCCUCCUCCAAGCAUUGCAACCCCUCUCCAUAUCCAUGCCACCGCCCUUGCUCGAUUACAAGAAGACAAGUUUUGUGAAUUGCGGUGUUCCUUUCGUCCUCGACAAAAUUAGCAAAAUCUUUACCCACCACGCACCACCCCACCUCCACCCGUUCCACCACCUUCUUUGCUUCCUCCUCCCUCCUUAUUACCAAUGCCGCUAACAACAAUUUCGUACAAACGCCUAUCAUCGGAGGAAUUGUCCAUGCGUCAUGAGAAGGGCCUAUGUUUUAACUGUGAUGAGAGAUUCACACGUGGCCAUCAUUGUGCUUCCAAGCUGUUUAUAUUCAUUGCUGAUGAUGAUGAGCUUGACCCUGAGAUACCUCUUCUAGAGGACUCUCCUUCCUUGCCACAUGAUCAAGAUGAGCUACCACAUCCUCAAAUUAGCCUCCAUGCUAUUUCGGGUCACCUCGCGCCCGAAACUGCGUAUGGAGGGAUAUAUCUCAACCAGGAAGGUCAUUAUUUUGAUUGAAGGCGGCAACACACACAAUUUCAUUCAUGAGAGUUUGGUCUCAACUUUAGGCUUGCCGGCACAGUCCACGCAAAUCCUACGCGUUAUUGUAGGUAAUGUUAGCGAGAUCAAAUGUUCCCAGGUUUGUCACAAUGUCAUUAUCCAGGUUCAAGGGCACCAGUUCUCGGUAGAGUUUCAUGUCUUACCUCUUGGGGGUGUGGACUUGGUUCUGGGAGUGCAAUGGCUCAAGUCUUUGGACCCAGUUUUGACUGAUUAUAUGGACUUAACUAUGAAGUUCAUGAACCAAGGUCGUAUUGUCGAGCUCCAGGGAGAUCGCGAGGAUGUCAUUCACGAUGUAACACACCACUAGCUACGGCGUGUAGUUCAAUCUAACGGUGUCAGCGCCCUUUUUCACAUUAGACUCACAGAAACUAAGCUCCCUUCCAACCAAAUCACCCGAACCUCUACCCAGUUCCCUGACAUCGACAUUCUUCUUCAACAAUACGCUGGUUUGUUUCAAAACCCAUCCGCUCUACCUCCAACCAGACAGAUUAAUCAUACCAUUAACCUCCUACUGAACUCUGCGCUGUUAUGGGUACGUCCCUACAGGUAUCCACACUUUCAUAAACAAGAAAUUAAGUUGCAAGUUACCAACAUGCUGUGUAGUUGCAUCAUUCGGCCAAGCCAAAGCCUAUUCUCAUCCCAGUUCUUCUGGUAAAGAAACGGGAUGGUUCAUGGUGAUUCUGCGUCGACUAUAGGGCAUUGAAUGCGAUAACAGUAAAGGAUCGCUUUCCGAUACCUGCCAUUGAUGAGUUGCUUGAUGAACUUGGCAAAGCUUGCUGGUUUACAAAGUUAGACUUACUUCAAGGGUACCGUCAGAUCUUAAUGCAGGAGGAAGAUGUGUAUAAGAUAGCUUUUCACACUUAUGAAGGGCAUUAUGAGUUUCAUGUUAUGCCUUAUGGCCUCUGCAAUGCUCCCUCUUCAUUUUAGACAUUAAUGAAUACCACGUUCCGGCCACACCUGCGUAAAUUCAUUAUCGUCUUUUUUGAUGAUAUUCUGAUUUACAACAAAACAUUCGAGGCUCAUGUACAUCAUGUGGAGUACACAUUUUAGUUGCUUAAGGAGGGCCAAUUCUUUAUGAAAUUAUCCAAAGGUGCCUUUGCUCAACGCCAAAUUGAGUAUUUAGGACAUAUGGUUUUAGGUAGAAGUGUGAAACCAGUGUAGGAGAAGAUUCUCGCCAUACAACAAUAGCCGUCGCCCACUUCUCUUCAUACUCUUCGAGGAUUUCUGGGCCUUACUGGGUUUUAUAGACGUUUCAUUAGAGGAUACGCAGCGAUAGCGGCACCCUUAGUUCAUCUCCUCACUAAGGAUACCUUCGAAUGGUCCACCAUAGUACAGGAUGCCAUCUAGGCUUUAAAAACUUCUGUCAACAUUGCUUCAGUACUUCCCUUACCUGAUUUCUCCUUACCAUUUACCUUGGAAACGGAUGCUUCAAGACUAGGUCUGGGUGUUGUGUUAUCCCAACAACACCACCCUAUAGCAUUUUUCAGCAAACAAUUUUGCCCUAGGUUACAACAAGCUUCGACAUAUGUUCAUGAGUUGUGCACAAUAACUUCGUCCGUUAAGAAGUGGCGGUAGUAUUUGCUGGGUCACCCAUUUAUGAUACUCACUGAUCACCGGAGCCUUAAAGAAUUGAUGAGUCAAAAUGUGCAAACGCCUGAACAACACAUGUACCUUACCAAACUCAUGGGGUAUGACUUCCCCAUACAAUAUCGUUCAAGCCUUUUGAAUCGUAUCGCUGAUGCUCUCUCUCGGGUUCCUGAGGUGGACAAGGGCAUGGUGUUUUGGUUAUCAGUCCCUGAUUUCACCAUCAUGGAUGACCUUAAGCGAGAACUGGCAGCCAAUCAGGAGUUCUUGAACCUUCGAAAAGAGUUGCAGGAACAACCAUCUCAACAUCUUGACUUUGUGUACUCAUAUGGUUUAAUAUUGCAGAGUGGUCAAAUAUGGCUUCCCAAUGACCUAAAUUUCAUUCCACUCUUGUUACAUGAAUUCCAUUCCAUACCUACGGGUGGACAUAUGGGCAUCACCAAGACUUUAGCUCAAAUUCAGGCUAAUUUCACGUGGCGUUCGAUAUGCGAAGAUGUUUUCCAUUUUGUGGGUAGAUGUCCGGAUUGUCAAGCCACUAAAUACGAAACCCAAAAAUCAGCUGGGCUCCUGGCGCCAUUAUCACUUCCCCAUAGACCGUUGGAAGACUUGCCACUCGACUUCAUUGUGGGUUUACCACCAUAUCGAGGGCACACAAUGAUAUUGGUGGUUGUGGAUCACUUUUCAAAGGGUAUCCAUUCGGGUCUCUUGCCUGCGCAAUUCUCAGCUUAUCAGGUGGCCAGUGUCUUCCUGGAUAUAGUAGCAAAACACCAUGGCAUGCCAAAGAGCUUGGUGUCUGAUCGUGAUCCUCUUUUCAUUUGUAAAUUUUGGCAGGAACUCUUUAAAAUUUCAGGGACCAAGUUACGCUUCAGCUCUGCUUAUCACCCCCAGUUCGAUGGACAAACGGAGGUAAUGAACCGCAUCAUCAAUCAAUAUCUACGAGCAUUUGUUCAUAACAAACCAGCUACAUGGGGAAAAUUUCUACCAUGGGUAGAGUGGUCCUACAAUACCUCGAGGAAUACAAGUACUGGCAAUUCCCCAUUUGAGGUAACCUUUGGCAAGGAACCACUUACGGUUCUUCAGUAUAUUCAAGGAUCAUUAUUAGUGGAUGCGGUUGACACACUGUUGACUUCUCGGGAAACCUUGUUUGCUAGCCUGAGAAAGAAGUUGCUUAAAGCGCAGGAAUGCAUGAAGCACUUUGCGGAUAAGCAUCGUCGAGAGGUGUGUUUUGAGGUGGGGGAUAGUGUGAUGGUCAAACUAUGACCAUAUCGACAAUCUCCAGUCACUGGAACAACUCACCACAAGCUUGCCCAGCGUUAUUAUGGAUCUUUCAAGAUUAUCAAACGCAUAGGUCCGGUGGCCUAUAGACUUCUGUUGCCAGCAGGGUCUCGCAUUCACCUGGUCUUUCAUUGCUCACUACUCAAGCCAUUUCUUCAAGAUGUUGACAAUCAACUCGCGCCACUUCCACUCCCACCAACGACCUUGGAUAACCAACCUGUGAUCUCAUCGUUAGCUAUUCUUAGCUCGCGUCAGGAAGGUCCAGAUGAAGACAUGUAUCUCCAAGUUCUAGUGCAGUGGAAGGGUCUCCACGUAGACGACACCUCGUGGGAGGACUGGGCCACAUUGAAGGGCACCUAUCACCUUAAGGACAAGGUGAUUUUUGAUGAGGUUGGGAAUGAUAGACCAAGCGGGUCACAAGCAGUCCAUACCGAGAGGCCCAAAAGAAGGAUCACAACACCUCGAAGGUUCCAGGACUUCGUGUGAAUGGUGCUGAUAGGAGUAGAAUAAAAUAAAGGAUUUUUUGCAAAUCUUGUAUUGCGUGUUUGUGAAUGCGCAUCCUUUAGUGCGUACGUGUCCUUUAGUAAUGUGUGUUUGUUAGUGCGUGUCCUUUAAUAUUGUCGAGAAUAUCCCAGCAUGUUGGUUAGGGAGGUAUGGCACCUUUUGCGUGUAUUCUUAUCUAGUUGUGCCUGCGAGUGCCCAUUUGUAGAGGUGUACCGUAGGAAUAAGACAGGUAGAAAUAUAAUAUCCUUCUUUUCUCUAUUAGUGUUCUCUUCCGUUAUCCACAUUUCAUAACAUAUUGCAUCGCUCCUUGUUCAUAGUAGCAGUUGUCACACCUUUGCCAUCCGCCAUUCAACAAAAAUAGUCACUCCAAAAUCAUUGAUGAAGGCACCGCAACCACCAUCGUUGAAGCCACUUCGCAUGGCUAUUUGUGGAGCUUUUUUUUUUCAACAUCCAUUUGUGUUAAGUGUUUCCCAAAAUCAUUGAUCCAUAAUUUAUAAGUAUUUCAAAAAUGUAUUCUAAAAUGUCUAUUCUAUAAUAUAUGUUGAUGUAUUAUGAAACAUGCAAUCUAGAAUACCAACAUAUUACAAAUUCAUUGAUCUAAAAUGAUGCAUGUAUUCUUAAAAUGUAUUCCAAAAUGUUUAUUCUAUAAUAAUCAACAUAUAUUACAAAAUAUGCAUUUUGGAAUACCUGUUUAUUAUGAAUAUAUAGAUCUAGAAUGAUACAAAUAUUCUAGAAAUGUACUCCAAAAUGCUUGGUUAGUAAUAUAUCAACAUAUAUUACAUAAUAAUCAUUUUGGAAUACAUUUCCAAAAUACCUAUAUAUUAUGGAUCAACGAUUCCAUUAUGUCAAGAAUUUUGUAAUGUGCUAGGGAUCUUUGGGCCUUCACUUCGACGACCUUGGCACCGUCACUAGUGAAAGCAGAGAGGUGGAGGGAGCUGUCACAAGCCCGGGAGAUGGAGAGGUAAUGAAACGAAGGGCCAAGGCUGUGGUUAAGGGUAAUGUGCGGAUAUAAAAAGUGAGGUGCAUCAAGCAAAAACUAAGUGCAUAUAAAUUGCCCUUAUUGGGCUGUCG
rnacentral:lncRNA from 1 species